ensembl:lncRNA
GACUACAAUGUCUCCGAUGAGAAUGGUUCAGAUACUCCAGGGGAGUCAGACCGGAUGAACUCAGCUUCUCUGAAACUCCCUACACUGAUUUGGGUGGCAGCACAUCAGCCCAACAGUGCUUUGCUUGCCUCGGUGAGCACCCUGAAAGAGGUGUCCCUCCAGACGGAUGUGGUCCCCGCUGGCCAGCCCUUGGAGGAACACCUGGACAAGGAGCAACAUUGGGCCGACACCCAGGAGGACAGCCUGACAAGGGUAAAGGAAGACCUGGUCUCCAUGGAGCACAUCCCGGACGAAGGCCUGAAGAUAUGCAGCGGAGGUGGGGACUUCAAACAGUACCAGGGAGAUAGGCAGAAGAAGCUUGGGGGAUGCUUCAGAUGGAUUGGGGAGUGGCUGUCUAGGAGCAAGGGAGAAGAGAUGAGAGACAGAGGGAGGAUGGAACAGAAGCCUGGCACCCUGAUCAUGGAUAUCCCCUGCCCUUUGACCCCCCCCAGCCACACCCUUGCUUCCUGGCUCACCGUGGAGUACAUCCCUCACCCAAAUAGGGCACGCCUGGCUCCCAUCACCAAUGUGAGUGAAAAAGGCAAGAAACUCCUUCUGGAAAUUGCCAGAGAUUCCCAACAGCCCGAUGAGAAAAAACAAACUGUCAAAGAGGCUAAGAAACACAGAAAACGAAAGGAGAAAGCCAUUGCGAGACAACAGGAGAAAUCUGUGGGGCCAAAGGAGAAACAACACAUGAAAAAGGACAAAAUAAGUCUGAGGAAGAGAUUCCUUCAAUGGCUGCUAUCUAAGAUGUGCUGUAUGAGGAAGUAAUGGAGAACGGCUACACACACACACACACACUAACUUGUUUGCACCUGUGUCUCGUUUACCCCCCAUAUGAGUUCUGUGUUUGCUGUUGUUCUUUGUGAGGUAUUUUUUAUGUGUGCGUGUGCGCGAAAUAUUACAGAGCCUUUUUUUCAUGAACAUUCAUUUUGAUCUGAGAAUCUUGAAAGUCUGUUUUGGUAUCCCGACCCUUGCUUGCCUACCUGACCGCCUCUUUGGAUUUUCCCCACUGUACUUCAGCCUCCGCUCUAUCUUGAUUUCCCAGUUACCGACCAUCUGCCUGCCCUUUGACUUCGCUACAGCCUGUCCCUUUUUACACAAUUUUUUCUCCCCAAUAAAAGUCCUGCGCUCUGCGUUUGGAUCCAUCCCUCCCUCCAACUUGCUCUGCAUGCAUCCAUUACACUUCCCCAUCAACCGCGAGACACAUAAAUCUCUAACGAAUGUAAUCGUCUUGAUAUCACCGUCGCUUUGCUAAAUUUAAGAUGGCCUGCUUAUGCUUGGGUUUCCCUCCAAGUUUCACUGGCCCUGUAGUUUCACUGGCACUGAUAAUUCAAACUAAUGGUUAUGAUUUUCAAAAAAUUUUUGUUCUCCAAAUGUAUUUCUCAAUAAAGUAUGAUGAAU